rnacentral:rRNA from 1 species
AUAUGUCGGCAGCCUUACACAUGUCAGUCGAGCGGUAACAGGAAGAAGCUUGCUUCUUUGCUGACGAGCGGCGGACGGGUGAGUAAUACUUGGGAACUUGCCUUUAGGAGGGGGAUAACCGCUGGAAACGGUGGCUAAUACCGCAUAAUGUCUACGGACCAAAGCAGGGGCUCUUCGGACCUUGCACCUAAAGAUAGGCCCAAGCGAGAUUAGCUAGUUGGUGGGGUAAAGGCCCACCAAGGCGACGAUCUCUAGCUGUUCUGAGAGGAUGAUCAGCCACACUGGGACUGAGACACGGCCCAGACUCCUACGGGAGGCAGCAGUGGGGAAUAUUGCACAAUGGGGGAAACCCUGAUGCAGCCAUGCCGCGUGUGUGAAGAAGGCCUUCGGGUUGUAAAGCACUUUCAGUGGUGAGGAAGGCCGUAAGAUUAAUACUCUUGCGGAUUGACGUUAACCACAGAAGAAGCACCGGCUAACUCCGUGCCAGCAGCCGCGGUAAU